rnacentral:piRNA from 1 species
UGGGCUACUGCAAGGUGAUUACUUGAAACUC